UACGUAGGGUCCGAGCGUUAAUCGGAAUUACUGGGCGUAAAGCGUGCGCAGGCGGUUCGACAAGUCCGAUGUGAAAGCCCCGGGCUCAACCUGGGAAUGGCAUUGGAAACUGGCGGGCUGGAGUGUGGCAGAGGGGGGUGGAAUUCCGCGUGUAGCAGUGAAAUGCGUAGAGAUGCGGAGGAACACCGAUGGCGAAGGCAGCCCCCUGGGCUGACACUGACGCUCAGGCACGAAAGCGUGGGGAGCAAACAGG
rnacentral:rRNA from 1 species